UCACUUAACUAGAUAGAUCGAGAAAUAUUAAAUUACUAUUACUAUUAUUCAGGUUGAAAAAUGCCUUCUUCUAAGGUAAAAGGUUGCGAAGUCGAUAGGGGAAAAAUAAUGUGAAAAUGAAUUCUUUCCCAAAAGAAUCUGAACGACGGAAAGUGUGGAUUAAAAAUAUAGGGUUAAAACAAGAUCCAAACAAAUAUGCUGUUGUUUGUGAAAAAAACUGUAAAUAGUAUUUAAGGCAACGAUUGUGAAUGAGUGAGAAGUCUAAUAAAGCCACGACGAGAUACUGUAUCAGAGCGUACGAUUUGGAGGUAUUUUUGAUUAGAUAAAUUUUGUAAAGUACAAUAUAAAUUAGAUUUGAUAAUGUGUAGUAUUUCCUAAUAAAUUAAAUACUAUUAAGUGUUUAUUGUUCGUGUAAGUUAGUGUGGUAAAUAAAUAAUAUGAAGUAAG